CUUUAAUAAAGUAUCAUUUCUUUCCUCACAAGCAAGUGCACCUGCUGUUGGGUUUGGGCAGGAGCCAGGACACCUGAUGAAGAGGGUUUACAACACCUGGUAAUAACUCCAGUGCAUAUUGAUCCAUAUUUUCUAGAGCAUAACGGCUCACAAGGCGAGAACAGUGAUCAACUGGCUUUGACAAGCUCCUUCUAGUCCACAGCCGUUAUGGAGAAUCUGAGUGAUGCAUUCCAUGCAGAAUCCUUUGAACUUCAUACAAAGAAGUCAAGAGAGGGUGGGGGGAAGUUUCUGCUGCUGAAAACAUAGUAUGCUCUGGGGAAAUAUGGGCGACAAGGCAGGAUACACACUUGCAUACACAAACAUUACACAUGUUCUGAUUAUUUGUUGUCCUAUACAACACAAGAAUGCCCUCUUUGAAAAUUUCAUAACCAAUUAAAAGUCCUGUUAAUUAAACAUUGUGCUCUUGUAUCAAUUAAAUUAACACAAUUGGUGCACUGCUUUUAAAGGCAAGUGUCAACAUCUUUUAAGUGCCACAAUAAUAGUUUGACUUAUUACAUUGUUGGGCUGUUGAAAACAUUUUUCCAAAGAUACAAUUCAUAAAAUCUGAAAUCUGUCGUUUUCUCUGUACACUUUCUGUUACCAGCCUGUCUUCUUCUGUGGCUUUUCAUAAGCUUGUGAGAACAAUGAUACCAUGUUCCAUUUAUUUCAAACUAUAAUAUAUUUAAUAUGUUUAUUUGCCUUGGGAUCCAUGGACCACAGAUUAAGGACCUCUGCUCAGGAGUGAUUAAAACAGAUGGAAGUGAAACUGUCCUGUACAGUGAAAAAAGUGUUUAAACAGAAUUUAAUGACAUAAUUAAGAUUUGGCUGCUACCUCCCACAUAGACCAUCCCAGGUGCUGAGGUUUGCAGAGGAGACCCUGCUGUCAGUUUUGUUGCUCUGAGAAGUUUGUGGGGUGGCAGUAUGUGAUAGAGCCACAAAAUCCAUUGAGUUGAUUCAAUCUGGAAGUGAUGCCAUUGAGACUGAAAUAUCCACCCACUGGUUUGGUUUUUCAAUAUUACCAUCUCUUACAUUGAUAGGUCCGGUAACAGUGCUGGCAGAGUAAACAUGGGGUCAGAGUUGGCAUCUGGAUCUGCCACAAAAUCUGAUCCCUCUGUCCACAUCUGUUACUUAUGCAUUUAUUUCAGCUAUUUAUUAACCACUUAAUUUCCAAAGUUUUAAAGUUUAAGUGCUGAGGGAGUUGCUGGUGAGUAUCUGUUUUAGAUUAAGGUACAGUCUGUAAAAGAGUACAGACUUGCCACUCAUGGCUUGUGGGAGGGAAGUGCCAUUGUCCAGCAAGAUGUUCAGUGCUAUCACUUGUGGACUGAAUCAGCAGAAUGGAGUCUUGUCACACUAUAUAUGUUAUUUGGCUUUCUAGUACCAGGAUGUCUGUGUUCUUUUUGUUUUAAUAAAUAGAUCUUGUUAA